AUUGCGCAUCUCGGGGAUGAUGCACCACGUCUUACAUCCGGGGACGAUAAGUUGGUAUCACUCUCGCGCAUGUGCAGUUCAUUCGAGUUUAUUGUUAGAUAUACAAAUAGUUAUCGUAUGUGUUGCUGCAGCGUUUAAAUACGUUUACGACUUGAUCUUUUGAUAAUUAAAAGAUAACAUGGAUGAUGACCGCAACGUGGUCAAAGAGACAUUCCAGGAACCGCGGAAAAGGUUCUGGCUGAUGUUUCAGUAUUCAACCAAAUAUGUCAGAUUUGUCCAUCAUGGAGAAAGAGCCAAAUAUCACAACAUUACGUAAAAAAAUGCUACUGAGAGCUGUACCAACUUAACAAUCAAGAGCUGGAUGUUGAACAUUGGACUCAAUCACUCGGUGGCAAAGAACCCUUGAACAGUGUAUUAAAUAAAAACGAAUCUUUUGAUGAACUUUAAGAAAAGAUAAUAAAAUCUUUUUGUGACGAGAAUGAACGAAUAUCUCUUCAAGAAAGUUACGUUUUGAGUCAAAUUGCAUGCGCCGGUCUCACACAUUUGUAAUUUAUAUCAACAACAUCGAUCGUGACUAGGCGCACGUUGAAUCUUCCGUUCGCGUCAUCUUCUGUCACGCAAACUGUAAAAUAAUGAAUGUGCAAUAAAAAAUAUCGUAA